CUAGCUACAGACUGCUACUGACGAACAUAAGAGCACCACUUGGCUCAGUCUGGCGGUGCUAUAGCACACACAAUCCUCUGCUCCCCAACCCCUCUAUUGCUGCAACAUUGGAACAAAGCAGGUAGCAAUUCAUGUUUCAAUGGAUGCUGGAAGCAUCUGAGAGAAGCAGUCUCUCUGUGAAGAUGUUUUGCCGCAGAACAUCUGCUCCCCCUUGGUCACCCCAACUGCAAAUGUGAUAUGAAAACAGCUGACUGGAAGAACUAGGAGUGAGGCAGAAUGGGUAAACCCCCCAUGCCAAGCAAAAAGUUUGAAAGAUGUUUACAUUAUUUUGCCGACCAAGGGCAAGAUGGAUGGAUGGCAUCCUUGAAGUGACUGGACUGACCUUGAAGGAGCUGGGGGUGGUGACGGCUGACAGGGAGCUCUGGCAUGGACUGGUCCAUGAGGUCACGAAGAGUCGGAGACGACUGAACGAAUGAACAACAACUUACAUUAUUUUAAUAUUCUAAACACGAAAACGUGGGUCCUGCUUCCUGCCUCUCUAACUGAUUGACUUUUCCAAACUGGUUGAAGGUAGUUCUUGACAUGUCAGAAUUUUUGAAAAGGCAUUCCUCUCUGUCAUAUCAAGGAAAUUGGUAAGCUUCACAAAGACUGAAAUGCACCAUUACAAAAAUUGUUCCUCUCAGUCUUAUUAUGAUGAAUUUACUAUUGCUGAUUGUUUUGCCAUGAAUGUAACCUGUGCUUUGAAGAUUAUACAUUAUUUUGAAACCUCUUUUGAUG